UACGGAGGAUCCAAGCGUUAUCCGGAUUUAUUGGGUUUAAAGGGUGCGUAGGCGGAAUAGUAAGUUAGUGGUGAAAGCCUGCAGCUUAACUGUAGAAUUGCCAUUGAUACUGCUAAUCUUGAGUACAUAUGAAGUGGGCGGAAUGUGUCAUGUAGCGGUGAAAUGCUUAGAUAUGACACAGAACACCGAUUGCGAAGGCAGCUCACUAAACUGUAACUGACGCUGAGGCACGAAAGCAUGGGGAGCAAACAGG
rnacentral:rRNA from 1 species